GAUGAACGCUGGCGGCGUGCCUAAUACAUGCAAGUCGAGCGAACAGAUAAGGAGCUUGCCCCUUUGACGUUAGCGGCGGACGGGUGAGUAACACGUGGGUAACCUACCUAUAAGACUGGAAUAACUCCGGGAAACCGGGGCUAAUGCCGGAUAACAUUUAGAACCGCAUGGUUCUAAAGUGAAAGAUGGUUUUGCUAUCACUUAUAGAUGGACCCGCGCCGUAUUAGCUAGUUGGUAAGGUAACGGCUUACCAAGGCAACGAUACGUAGCCGACCUGAGAGGGUGAUCGGCCACACUGGAACUGAGACACGGUCCAGACUCCUACGGGAGGCAGCAGUAGGGAAUCUUCCGCAAUGGGCGAAAGCCUGACGGAGCAACGCCGCGUGAGUGAUGAAGGUCUUCGGAUUGUAAAACUCUGUUAUUAGGGAAGAACAAAUGUGUAAGUAACUGUGCACGUCUUGACGGUACCUAAUCAGAAAGCCACGGCUAACUACGUG
rnacentral:rRNA from 1 species